rnacentral:snRNA from 1 species
ACUCUGGUUUCUCUUCAGAUCGUAUAAAUCUUUCGCCUUUUAAAAGA